UCAGAUAUGCCGAUUUUGAAGUGCCGCAGAACUGAGCAAUACUCGCGCUGUGUGUUCAUUACCGAACACUGAAUAUGUGUGCGAAAUAUCUUGCUCCAACUGUUCGUAGUUUUUUAGAAAACAGUUUUUUUAGUUCCCACGCCCGGCCGUCAGACCGUCGGCAAACCCUGCGCACGGGCGCACCGACGUCACCGCUCUCGGUUUAUCUGUCUUUGGCUUGGCAUGGACUCUUGGCUUGGCCGCUUUGCUUCUUUCGUUUCGUCCUCUGUGCAUCGUACGUAAGCGAACAGCUGUUAUGUUGUUGCUAAGCCGGAAACAAAGCAUGUGAAUAUUUUUUUUUGGCACGGCGUCGUUUGGAAAGUGCACUUCCUUGUUCUGACCUUGCCUUUUAUGGGCUGGAGCGAUACGAUACGUGAUAUGCUACGGCGAAGUUGUCGAAGAUGCGACGGUGCUACGCUGUUAGAACAAUUCAUCGGAGCAUUCAAGUGUUACCUAUUAUAAGCUGCCAAAAGACCAAGCAGUGCGAAGCUCUUGGCUGACAGUGAUGCCUGCUAAUUUCCACUGCAAGGAUUUCGUCCACAAAUGUUAUCAUAGGUUACGAGCGACUCCAGAGGCACUUUGGAAUCUCGGCAUGAAAUCGUCUGAUGAAAAUCUCAGGUGCCCGACGCACAACAUUUUGAACGUGCCACGGAGGAUCAAGGCAAAAAACGAGAGCGAAAAAGGUGCACGCUGAAGGCGGAAAUUAAGCAUGAUCUGGCUUGCAUCUGGUGCAUGAAGAAAUUGCUGACACGUUAGUUGCAGUCUACCUCCACCAACAGGGUGGAAAACAAAGGUCGCCAUUCCGAUUAGCUGCUAUCUCCCAGUUCAAGCACUUUUGCUGUCUGGACACUGGUUCCUGUGGAUGGGGUGUUACAAGCUUCACUGUCUGAUAUAGAAGCUACGCUACAUUAGUUCAGUUAAUUUGUCUUUUGCACAUUUUUGUUACUGUUAGCUGGAUUACUGUUGGACAUACAAUCCUUUGACACACCGAAGCUGAUGUUGUUGAAGCUGAUAACGUUUUAGAAUUUUCAGUGUCAUCAACGUCCAUUGAGGAAGGUGCCUUUACUAUCUGUGAAUCUUUAAUUGAAGAAUAGCCCAGAAUUCAUGUUAACAUUGUCUACUCUUAUUAAUUCACUGUCUGUGUUCUGAGAGCUAAAAAAAUGGAAACUAUUUAUUUGUCACAACUUCACACUGGAUGUGGUACUGGCUUGACAUGUAAGCUAAAAUACCUAGAUUCUACAAUAAUUGUGUUCAACUUGGUGCAUUACCGUGGGCAAUGCCACAUUCACUACAUUUUUAGUGGGUCUGGUGCACAAAUACUGUGUGCAUACUGCAUACAUACAUACUGUUCGAUAGGCAAAAAUACCUGAGCAGUGCUGUAUAGUCGUUUUACUCAAAGUCCAUACUCUUACUGCAAAGUCACAGUACGUAGAACAGCAAUGUGCAGGUAUGCUGCGAUAGAGAUUCACAACAGAAAGAAGACUUGAGAGCAUCUAAAUUUUAAUGAGACAAGACUUUCGUGCACAAGGCUGCUCUUGUUAAUGUCUAACAUGAAGUUACAAAAUCCCAGAAUAUAUAAAACAUGUUGUAAUGUAGAGAGCGAGGUUGGUACAGACAUAAAAAUAAUUAUACAAUGAUAUAUAAUAAAAUAAAAAGGGGGUACAACUCCCCCCUCAACUCAACUCGACAACUCAAUAACUCUACUUAUUCUCUACCUUACAACAUGUCAUAUAUUCUGGAAUUUUGUGACUUGAUGUUAGACCUCAAGAAGUACAGCCUUUUGUGCAAAAGUCUUCUUUCUGUUGUGCACAAUCAUUAUACAGUAAAUACGACUAUCCAUUUCUUGUCAUUAAAUGCUUUUUCUUCUUUUUUUUCUGCAGUGAUGAGCAUCCAUAAGGACACAUGCCAGAAAGGGAGUCUCUUUGGGAUGACAAACCCUCAUCACCUCAUGAGGAUACAAUGGUUGACGAAUGGUUCUCAAGUACAUCGAAACUUCAACAAAUAAUUCAUGAAGAAGCCAGUCAGUGCUAGCCCCAGGAAUUGAACGUGGACCGUCCUGCUACCAGUCAGAGAUGUUACAUUUCAGGCGCUCAUUGACUUUUGGUGAAUUACUUGUUGACUUUGUCCCAAGGUGGAGCUCGCCACAGCUCAUUUGCCUAUCUGUUAAUGUUGUGGCGUGUGUUGCGUUUUUCUCUUUGUGUGUUCCAGACUCAGAACGGUUAAUUUGGAUCAGGUCAGGUACGUUUCAUCUAGACAUGGCAAACAUAAAGUGGUGUUUCUCAACACAACUUAGCAGUGGCCUUCAUGCAUUACUGCUAUGGCCAUUAAGCGUGAAUGGAAAGCUCCACAUUAUGCAUGAUGUAAAACCCCAAGACUAGGGAACACGAAGGGACAGACACAAACACGUCCCUUUGUGUUCCCCAGUCUCGGGGGUUUUACAUAUGCAUCAUCUUCACCAGCUCGCUUGCUUCCUAGCCAUUUUUUCUGCACAUUAUGUUCACUCUACUUUUAUCAUGUGCUAUAUAAUCUUGUUCAAGUUCUGUCAAACGUCGUGUAAUGCUAUAAAAAAAUUCACUACACUGUUUAUGUGGGUUGAAUGGUAGCGCAUGAAUGCAGGAAGGAAACUGUCAUGUUAUGGCAAGUGUUUACGUAUUGUACAUUUAACUACGAAUUUUAUAGGUUAGCUUUUGCCGGCGUAUCAUGUCAAGCCACGUUAUAUCAAUUUGGAACGUGUUCUUAGUAGCCAGAGCAGCUGAUACACAGUGAGGACAUAGCCCGUGUGUGUUUGUCUUUUCCACCGCAGCCCUUGGGUUUUCUCCCUGAUGGCUACAAAUGUCAGGGAAAGGUUUCAGAACCGGUAGUUCCCGCCAAGUGUGAAUUGCUUUUCAGGGGAUCAUCACGCUGGCAGAUAAAACAUAUGGUUUAAAUUAUUUGCAGGACAGGAAUUGCGUAGCUUCACACAAAUACUACUACAACGACGUAAGAGUGGUUUCAAAUCUAGCUUUUUUGUGUUCCUGACAUUAUCGCACGAGAUGUAGUAUCCACUAUGAUCCUUUAUAUGGGGGGUAUGUACAGUGCAGUCAACAGAUGCUAUUUACAAAUCUGUGUUUUCUACUGUGUUGAAAUGGGGUAGUUUGUAUCUGAGAGCCAUAGUGAAACACAGGCAGCCAAGGACAGACUUUUGAUGCCCUCGAGAAACUUGGCAACACAAUGCAGGGACUCUGGAUGCUGCCUAAAUUUCCAGAACACACAGCUCAAGGCAGCGGUUAAAUAAUAAGUGGUUAGAGAAAUCCAAGACAGUUGCAUGUGUAAGCAGUCCGCUGUUGGAUUUGCUUCUGUCCGAGAUACGUUAUCUCAAAGGGAACGCACGGGCACACUCAGAAUGAUACCAGGGCUGCCUGUGAAAUAGAAUGAGGAGAGGGGAAGAUAUAUAACCCUUUUUUCUUGUCUGUUAUUCUAUUGGUUAAAUUGUCAUUUGCUUAGCAGCAUAUAUGUGUAUAUUCCAGAGUCUGCUAAUAAAUAUAUCAGUUUAGA